AGUGAACGCUGGCGGCAGGCCUAACACAUGCAAGUCGAGCGGCAGCGCGGGGGCAACCCUGGCGGCGAGCGGCGGACGGGUGAGGAAUUCGUCGGAAUCUGCCUUUUUGUGGGGGAUAACGUAGGGAAACUUACGCUAAUACCGCAUACGUCCUACGGGAGAAAGUGGGGGACCGCAAGGCCUCACGCAGAAAGAUGAGCCGACGACCGAUUAGCUAGUUGGUGGGGUAAAGGCCCACCAAGGCGACGAUCGGUAGCUGGUCUGAGAGGAUGAUCAGCCACACUGGGACUGAGACACGGCCCAGACUCCUACGGGAGGCAGCAGUGGGGAAUAUUGGACAAUGGGCGCAAGCCUGAUCCAGCCAUGCCGCGUGUGUGAAGAAGGCCUUCGGGUUGUAAAGCACUUUUGUCCGGAAAGAAAUCCCUGGAGCUAAUACCUUCGGGUGAUGACGGUACCGGAAGAAUAAGCACCGGCUAACUUCGUG
rnacentral:rRNA from 1 species